rnacentral:rRNA from 1 species
UACGGCGGGGGCUAGCGUUGUUCGGAAUUACUGGGCGUAAAGCGCGCGUAGGCGGCUUUGUAAGUCAGAGGUGAAAGCCUGGAGCUCAACUCCAGAACUGCCUUUGAGACUGCAUCGCUAGAAUCAUGGAGAGGUAAGUGGAAUUCCGAGUGUAGAGGUGAAAUUCGUAGAUAUUCGGAAGAACACCAGUGGCGAAGGCGACUUACUGGACAUGUAUUGACGCUGAGGUGCGAAAGCGUGGGGAGCAAACAGG